GGCCAGGGUCUCACACCAUCCAGAUGAUGUAUGGCUGCGACCUGGGGCCCGAUGGGCGCCUCCUUCGCGGGUAUCACCAGCACGCCUACGAUGGCAAAGAUUACAUCACCCUGAACGAGGACCUGCGCUCCUUGACCGCCGCUGACACGGCGGCUCAGAUCACCCAGCGCAAGUUGGAGGCAGAGGAACUUGCAGAGCCUGUCAGGGCACAGCUGGAGGGCGAGCGCCUGGAGUAGCUCCGCAGAUACCUGGAGAACGGGAAAUAGACGCUGCAGCGCUUGGAGCCCCCAAAGGCACACGUGACCCACCACCCCGUCUCUGACCAUAAGGCCACCCUGAAAUGCUGGGCCCUGGGCUUCUUCUACCCUGCGGAGAUCACACUGACCUGGCAGCGGGAUGGGGAGGAGCAAACUCAGGACACUGAGCUUGUGGAGACCAGGCCAGCAAGGGGAUGGAACCUUCCAGAAGUGGGCAGCUGUGGUGGUGCCUUCUGGAGAAGGGCAGAGAUACACGUGCCAUGUGCAGCACGAGGGGCUGCCGGAGCCCCUCACCCUGAGAUGGGUGCCAUCUUCCCAGCCCACCAGCCCCAUUGUGGGCAUCGUUGCUGGCCUGGCUGUCUUAGCAGUUGUGGUCACUGGAGCUGUGGUCGCUGCUGUGACGUGGAGGAGGAAGAGCUCAGGUGGAAAAGGAGGGAGCCACUCUCAGGCUGCGUGCAGCGACAGUGCCCAGGGCUCUGAUGUGUCUCUCAGGGCUUGUAAAGCCUGAGACAGCUGUCUUGCGUGGGACUGAGAUGCAGGAUUUCUUCACGCCUCCCCUUUGUGACUUCAAGAGCCUCUGGCAUCUCUUUCUACAAAGGCAUCUGAAUGUGUCUGCAUCCCUGUUAGCAUAAUGUGAGGAGGUGGAGAGACAGCCCACCCCCAUGUCCCCCGUGACCCCUGUUCCCAUGCUGACCUGUGUUUCCUCCCCAGUCAUCUUUCCUGUUCCAGAGAGGUGGGGCUGGAUGUCUCCAUCUCUGUCUCAACUUCAUGGUGCACUGAGCUGCAACCUCUUACUUCCCUACUGAAAAUAAGAAUCUGAAUAGAAAUUUG